AACGAACGCUGGCGGCAGGCCUAACACAUGCAAGUCGAGCGAAGUCUUCGGACUUAGCGGCGGACGGGUGAGUAACGCGUGGGAGCGUGCCCUGGGGUGCGGAACAACCGCUGGAAACGGCGGCUAAUACCGCAUGAUGUCCUUCGGGACCAAAGAUUUAUCGCCCUGGGAUCGGCCCGCGUCGGAUUAGGUAGUUGGUGGGGUAAUGGCCUACCAAGCCGAUGAUCCGUAGCUGGUUUGAGAGGAUGAUCAGCCACACUGGGACUGAGACACGGCCCAGACUCCUACGGGAGGCAGCAGUGGGGAAUCUUGGACAAUGGGGGCAACCCUGAUCCAGCCAUGCCGCGUGAGCGAUGAAGGCCUUAGGGUUGUAAAGCUCUUUCACCGGUGAAGAUAAUGACGGUAGCCGGAGAAGAAGCCCCGGCUAACUCCGUGCCAGCCGCCGCGGUAAUAC
rnacentral:rRNA from 1 species